ACUCAAAGGAAUAGACGGGGGCCCGCACAAGCGGUGGAGCAUGUGGUUUAAUUCGACGCAACGCGAAGAACCUUACCUGGGCUAGACAACAGUGGACCGUCCUAGAAAUAGGAUUUUCCCUUCGGGGACCGCUGGUUCAGGUGCUGCAUGGCUGUCGUCAGCUCGUGCCGUGAGGUGUUGGGUUAAGUCCCGCAACGAGCGCAACCCUCGUACUUAGUUGCCACCAUUGAGUUGGGCACUCUAGGUAGACUGCCGGCGUUAAGCCGGAGGAAGGUGGGGACGACGUCAAGUCAUCAUGGCCCUUAUGUCCAGGGCCACACACGUGCUACAAUGGACGGUACAAAGGGUCGCAAACCCGCAAGGGGGAGCCAAUCCCAAAAAGCCGUUCUCAGUUCGGAUUGGAGUCUGCAACUCGACUCCAUGAAGUUGGAAUCGCUAGUAAUCGCGGAUCAGCACGCCGCGGUGAAUACGUUCCCGGGCCUUGCACACACCGCCCGU
rnacentral:rRNA from 1 species